UUCCGGUUGAUCCUGCCGGACCCCACUGCUAUCGGGAUGAGACUAAGACAUGCUAGUCGUGCACCUCCAGGCCACGGUGGAGGCGCGGCGCACAGCUCAGUAACACGUGGCUAACCUACCCUUGGGACGGAAAUAACCCCGGGAAACUGGGGCUAAUUUCCGAUAGGUGAAGAUUCCUGGAAUGGAUCUUCGCCGAAAAGGCGUCUAGACCAUGCUUCUAGGCGCUGCCCAAGGAUGGGGCCGCGGCCGAUCAGGUUGUUGGUGAGGUAACGGCUCACCAAGCCUAUAACCGGUACGGGCCGUGGGAGCGGUAGCCCGGAGAUGGGCACUGAGACAAGGGCCCAGGCCCUACGGGGCGCAGCAGUCGCGAAACCUCCGCAAUACGCGAAAGCGUGACGGGGUCAUCCCGAGUGCCGUCCGCUGAGGAUGGCUUUUCCCCAGUGUAGACAGCUGGGGGAAUAAGGAGAGGGCAAGUCGGGUGUCAGCCGCCGCGGUAAUACCCGCUCUCCGAGUGGUGGGGACGCUUAUUGGGCCUAAAGCAUCCGUAGCCGGCUGGACAAGUCCCCUGUUAAAUCCAGCGAUUUAAUCGUUGGACUGCGGGGGAUACUGUCCGGCUAGGGGGCGGGAGAGGCCGACGGUAUUUCCGGGGUAGGGGUGAAAUCCUAUAAUCCCGGGAGGACCACCAGUGGCGAAGGCUGUCGGCUAAAACGCGCCCGACGGUGAGGGAUGAAAGCUGGGGAGCGAACCG
rnacentral:rRNA from 1 species